GAUGAACGCUGGCGGCGUGCCUCAAACAUGCAAGUCGAGCGGGGCUAUGUAAUACCGCAAGGUAGAACAUAGCCUAGCGGCGAACGGGUGAGUAACACGUGGGUAACCUGCCUGGAAGACAGGGAUAACGAUUCGAAAGGGUCGCUAAUACCUGAUAAUAUCCUUUCAUCGCAUGGUGAUAGGAAGAAAGGGGAAACCCGCUUUCAGAUGGGCCCGCGUCCCAUCAGCUAGUUGGUAAGGUAAAGGCUUACCAAGGCGACGACGGGUAGCCGGUCUGAGAGGAUGUACGGCCACACUGGGACUGAGAUACGGCCCAGACUCCUACGGGAGGCAGCAGUUGGGAAUCUUAGGCAAUGGACGAAAGUCUGACCUAGCGACGCCGCGUGAGGGAAGAAGGCCUUCGGGUUGUAAACCUCUGUCAUGGGGGGAAGAAGUAAGUGACGGUACCCCAAGAGGAAGCCCCUGCUAACUACGUG
rnacentral:rRNA from 1 species